UACGAACCGUGCGAACGUUAUUCGGAAUCAUUGGGCUUAAAGGGCGCGUAGGCGGCGGCGUAAGUUGGAAGUGAAAUCCCAUCGGCUCAACCGUGGAAUUGCUCCCAGUACUGCGUCGCUCGAGGGGGAUAGGGGUCUGCGGAACUACCGGUGGAGCGGUGAAAUGUGUUGAUAUCGGUGGGAACGCCAGUGGCGAAAGCGGCAGACUUGACCCUUCCUGACGCUGAGGCGCGAAAGCUAGGGGAGCAAACGGG
rnacentral:rRNA from 1 species